AGUUUGAUCAUGGCUCGAGGAUGAACGCUAGCUACAGGACUUAACACAUGCAAGUCGGAGGGGAAACGAUUAUUGGAAGCUUGCUUCGAUAGGCGUCGACCGGCGCACGGGUGAAUAACGCGUAUCCAACCUGCCCAUCACGUUGGGAUAACCUUGACGAAAGUAAGACUAAUACCCAAUGAUAUCUCUAGAAGACAUCUGAAAGAGAUUAAAGAUUUAUCGGUGAUGGAUGGGGAUGCGUCUGAUUAGCUUGUUGGCGGGGUAACGGCCCACCAAGGCGACGAUCAGUAGGGUUCUGAGAGGAAGGUCCCCCACAUUGGAACUGAGACACGGUCCAAACUCCUACGGGAGGCAGCAGUGAGGAAUAUUGGUCAAUGGGCGAGAGCCUGAACCAGCCAAGUAGCGUGCAGGAUGACGGCCUAUGGGUUGUAAACUGCUUUAUAAGGGAAUAAAGUGAGUCUCGUGAGACUUUUGCAUGUACCUUAUGAAUAAGGACCGGCUAAUUCCGUG
rnacentral:rRNA from 1 species